rnacentral:lncRNA from 1 species
AUCCACAGAAUCUAAUCAAGACAAUUCUUUUGAUUACAAUUCCUCUCCACCAAACUUACAACCUUGCGAUAAACAAUGACUGGAAACUUCCAUAUGUCCUCAAUCUUUUACAAUAAUUGAUAAACAGUGAUCCAUAAACAACUUUGUAAAUCAAACAUUAAUUCAUUAAAUUGAUUCUCUUCACUAGAAUCAACACUAACACAAAAGAAACAAGAAAACUAAGAAGAAGAGAUAGCACCAAGCUUAUCCUCGAUUUAGUACUAUCGCAGUCUGGCCCUCGGCUUACAACUCUCACAGUCUGGCCCUCGGCUUA